CCUGCUUCUUAAAUAUGACAACCUGCCAAACAUUUCACAUGUACAAACUUCCUUUACUUUCAUGUUGAUUCUCCACAGUUUAUGCAGAUUGUUCUUUUCUGAGCUACAUAAUGUUGGUGAUGCGUGUGGCCGAACUCGUCCUCAUCACUGUUGUUACUGUUCUUCUCUUCAGAGCUCGAGCAGGGAACCAGAGACCACCUGAUGACCACACUGUUUCUUACUCAGUAAGAAGCAGAACAGCGAGGCGUUCAGGUCCAGCAGCCAGUCAGGAGAUGAAUGAUGAAGAUGAUGGUGCGGUGAACUAUGAAAACUGAUCAACCACUUCCACACCAACAUCAGCUCACCAGAGAAACGACUCCCUGACUGUUAUAUCAUUAAUAUCCUCUCAG